GACGAACGCUGGCGGCGUGCUUAACACAUGCAAGUCGAGCGGAGCGGCGAACGGGUGAGUAACGCGUGAGUAACUGCCCACCUCCCUGGGAUAACAGUUGGAAACGGCUGCUUAUACCUGAUAGUGGGGGAUGCCUCGCGUCCUAUCAGCUUGUUGGUGGGGUAGUGGCCUACCACGGCGACGACGGGGAGCCGGCCUGAGAGGGCGACCGGCCACAUUGGGCUGAGAGACUGCACAAACGCCUACGGGAGGCAGCAGUGGGGAAUAUUGCACAAGGGGGGAAACCCUGAUGCAGAAACGCCGCGUGCGGGAUGACGGCCUUCGGGUUGUAAACCGCUUUCAGCCAUGACGCGGUAGUGGCAGAAGAAGCACCGGCUAACUACGGGCCAGCCGCCGCGGUAAUAC
rnacentral:rRNA from 1 species